AUUACUUUGGCAGAAUAGUGUAUUGAAUUUAGAUUUCAAAGAUGUAAAUAAAUUACAAGUAAUA
rnacentral:tRNA from 1 species